GCCGGGAUGGUAGAGCGGCUUAAUACGCCGGUCUUAAAAACCGGUGGUUCUCAUCCAGAAUCACAUGGGUUCGAAUCCCAUUCCCGGCGC
rnacentral:tRNA from 1 species